rnacentral:tRNA from 1 species
GAGGGUAUAGCCCAGUGGUAGAGUGCAUGCUUAGCAUGAGGGAGGUCCUGGGUUCAAUCCUCAGUGCCUCCA